UACGAAGGGAGCUAGCGUUGUUCGGAAUCACUGGGCGUAAAGGGUGCGUAGGCGGCACGGUAAGUCAGAGGUGCAAUCCCGGAGCUCAACUUCGGAAUUGCCUCCGAUACUGCCGUGCUUGAGGACUGGAGAGGAGAUUGGAAUUCACAGUGGAGCAGUGAAAUGCGUAGAUAUUGUGAGGAACACUAGUGGCGAAGGCGAAUCUCUGGACAGUUCCUGACGCUGAGGCACGAAGGCCAGGGGAGCAAACGGG
rnacentral:rRNA from 1 species